CAGGGCGUAGCUACAACACAAAGCAUUCAGCUUACACCUGAAAGAUAUCUGCCAUCCCCAGAUCACCCUGA
rnacentral:tRNA from 2 species